rnacentral:rRNA from 1 species
AGUGAACGCUGGCGGCGUGCCUAAUACAUGCAAGUCGAACGGAGUGGCGCACGGGUGAGUAAUAUAUAGCUAAUCUGCCCCUUGCUGGAGGACAACAGUUAGAAAUGACUGCUAAUACUCCAUAGCAAGGGAUGAGACUAUAUCGUAUCAGCUCGUCGGUGGGGUAACGGCCUACCGAGGCUAUGACGCGUAACUGGUGUGAGAGGAUGAUCAGUCACAUUGGAACUGAGACACCGUUCAAACACCUACGGGAAGGAGCAAUAGGGAAUAUUACGCAAUGGGGGUAACCCUGACAGUGCAACGCCGCGUGGAGGAUGACUCUUUUCGAAGCAUAAACUCCUUUUGUUAGGGAAGCGGUACCUAACGAAUAAGCACCGGCUAACUCCGUGCCAGCAGCCGCGGUAAUUC